AAAUUGAAGAGUUUGAUCAUGGCUCAGAUUGAACGCUGGCGGCAGGCCUAACACAUGCAAGUCGAACGGUAACAGGAAGCAGCUUGCUGCUUUGCUGACGAGUGGCGGACGGGUGAGUAAUGUCUGGGAAACUGCCUGAUGGAGGGGGAUAACUACUGGAAACGGUGGCUAAUACCGCAUAAUGUCGCAAGACCAAAGAGGGGGACCUUCGGGCCUCUUGCCAUCAGAUGUGCCCAGAUGGGAUUAGCUUGUUGGUGAGGUAACGGCUCACCAAGGCGAC
rnacentral:rRNA from 2 species